rnacentral:rRNA from 1 species
GUGCUUCAAGAAUGGCCCUUCCAUGAAUUGGUUCAUGGAGCGUGGCUCAUAAACCAUAAACAAUACCGUACCUAAACCAACACAGGUGGAUAAGCUGAAUAAGCAAAGGCUAAGGCAGACACCCGGGAAAGGAACUCGGCAAAAUGCUAGCGUAACUUCGGAAAAAGCUAGACCUUAAUAAAGGUGUCACUAAAGAGAGGGGGACAACUGGUUAUUAAAACCACAGGGCUUUGCAAAGUGGAAACACUGCGUAUAAAGCCUGACGCCUGCCCGGUGCCGGGAGAUAAGUCUAGUAUAUGCAAGUAUAUAAACAGAAGGACCGGUAAACGGCAGCCAUAACUCUGGUGCGACUUGAUAAACUAAU